GGGCAGCUUCAAUGGGGAGGAGAAAGGGGGCAGAUUAGCAUUUAGUUUGUAUCAGCUUCCUCAGGAGGGAUGUCAGCGCUGAGAGGGAUACGCGUGAGGCCCAGCCGAACGGCGGGGUCUGGCUCUCUGCAAAACACUGCGGCUGCUGCACGGUUCUCAGAGCUCAAGGAAGAGACCAGGCUGUUCCCUGCAUUCACCAGACCGCAGCUUCAACAACCAUGACAACAGAGAGACGGGAUCUCCAUGGGAGAGUGCGGCAUGCAUACAGCCACCUGCAACUGUGGAACUCUCAUUCAUUUCCUGUUGGCGUAUUCCUGUUGGCACGGUGUGCAGCUGCGGCCGAGGCAGCAGGAAGGUGGAGAUGGACAGGAUUAGGAGGUACUGCACCGGUGGAGGCACAGAUGGAGAUGAACAGGAAGCUGCUUUCGGUGGACAGAUGGGCAGGAGCAGAGAAUGGCUGGAUGUACGGAGAAGCAGGGGAAAGAGAGGAGGAAGAACUGAAUGGACAGAGGCAUAGCUGCACAGGAGAAAGGAGCAGUUAAGAGCAGUUUACUCCCGGAGGCGGUUCAUGCCGCCCGCCCCAGGAUCCCCUCCCCUCACCGUGGGACUCUGCCCUUCCACCGGGGGGCCUCCCACCCCUCCGGCGUCUGGCUGUGUUCAGCUGGACUGGCUUUAGGGGCAGGAGCUUCAGGGGGGACGUGGGUUGUAUGAGAGAGCCAUCAGUCACCUGGUUAAUUAGUACCCUCAAUUGUCUCUAAACACCCUCCAUGAUGUGGCAUUGUUGCAGCAUAAAUGUCCCCUUGUUGUUGGAUAUGUUGCAAAACUCUGUGCCUUUGUCUGCCUAUCUGUCCACAUCUGCCAGCCUGCUCAGCUUUGUGAACCUAAAUUUCAGAGCCAAAUAUUUCUCCAUUACAUCAUAUAGAUUGAUUCUCAAUUUGCAACUAAAAAUUGA